ensembl:lncRNA
UUGCAGAAAUAAAGAAUGCACUAUUCAAACUCUUAAUAUCCGCUUUAGGUGCAGUCAGAGAUGGAGCUCUGCCAGAAGGAAAAUGCAUAACUGAAGGACCAGGUUUAAUAUCUGUUUGUUCCUGCAGUCAUGAUGUAUCUGGUAUACUUGUUGAAAACAAUUCAUGUGAGAUUUGUGUAGGAUUGAUGAUCCACUAUAUGAACUAUUUUGAACCACUACUUAUUUUUUUAUCAAUAUUACCAUUAUGUGUCUAAACUAACACUAAUAUAUGUCUUGCUAUUUCCACAGGCCCUACUGAAAGAACUCUAUGAGAAAGAAUCAAAACUGGAUAACGGAGAACUUCAGCUCUUGGAGGAGAGAUAUGUGGCAAACAUAUCAGAGCUGAACUUAGAGCUACAAGACCAUAUCAACGAUUUUGGGACUUCUCAGCACCACACAGAGCAGGAAAUUGAAGAUAUGCAGGGCACUAUUACCAUGUUGUGGAGCGAAAACAAGGACAUGAAGAAGAAAAUAAAACUUCUCAAUGAGAGCUUAGUGCAAGAACGACAGAAUAACGCUGGACUGAAUAAAAUGGUAAGUUUGUUUUGUCAUCAUGUUGUUCCACAUUUGUUCACAUAAAGGACAUAACUGACAUGCAUCUAAGGAUUAUCAUCUGUAAUAUAGUUGUGUAAAUAUAAAUUGAGAAUUCCAUUCAACAUGAAUUUACCAAUUUUGACAAUAGACAUAUUUAACAGUGUUUGCAGAAAUAAAGAAUGCACUAUUCAAACUCUUAAUAUUCGCUGUAGGUGCAGUCAGAGAUGGAGCUCUGCCAGAAGGAAAAUGCAUCACUGAAGGACCAGGUUCAAUAUUCUGUAAUAAAGGCUAAAGUUGAGAGGCGUCACGCAGAGGACAAACAGAUGGCUCUCAAGGACAAAAUCAAAGAAUUAAAGAAAGAACUGGAAAAUAAAGACGAGUCCGUCGAGACCCAGGUGAGUCUCCUCACCAGGUAGCUUAAGAUCCACUCGCAAGUCAGGGAAGAGUUGGGACAGACAGAGGGAUGUUCACAUAUUUUUAAUACUUUUGAAGACGUGAACAGAGGUAUUAUAUUAUAAUAUGGUUGUAUAUUGUUGUGUUAUUCAUAAAUACACUGGUUUAUUUUUUACAGAUUGCAUCACUCGAAAACAAAGCCCACGAGAGAUUGGUAUGAAUUUUUGGUCAACCAUUACACCAUUUGAAAACAUAGUUUAAAUCGAUGUUCCAAUCCUAAGGUGUCGUUCUUGUUGACACAGAUGAAGGCCUCAGCUCUACAGCGUGAGCUGAUGGACAAGAAGACAG